AAGCAAUUCUCCUGCCUCAGCCUCCCGAGUAGUUGGGAUUACAGGGGAUAGCUGUUCUUCUGCUGUAGUGGGAGACGUGGAAGAGCGUGGACUCUGGAGCUGGACUCCCUGGACUCAGAUCCUGGCUUUGCCUCUUAGUAGCUGUGUGACUUUGGGCCAUUCAGGUGAACAGGGCAAGAAAUGGAAAGCGCAUCCAAUCCAGGGGCAGUGAGUAUAGCCUGCUGUGUUUUGUUUUGAAAUUAUUUGAGUUAUUUUUCUUGUACCUCCCAAGCUGCCUGUCACAUGUGAAAAGCCGGGUUGAGGCUGUUAAGAUCAUACAAAUGGGUCUGUGUUUUGCAGCGGAAGGUUCCGAGUGCUGGAGACUCACAGAGAGGGAGGAAGUUUGGAGAUCACCACGUUCAGUGGUGUCGUUUUACAGAUGUGGGAAACUGAGGGCCUGAAACUUGCAUGAGGCAGUCCAAGACUCCUGACUUCUACGCCGGGGCUCUCUCACUUUCCAAAAACACUCCAGAAUCAACCAAUAUACUCACCCUCAUUUUCAACAGAGUAAAAUGCAUUUAGAUGUAACAAGACAAAAUCACAGCCUUCCCAAGCUCUGAGGUUGGUGAGCCCACGGCCUCCUGAAGCCCUCUGACCUGCCCAGCUCUCAGUCAUGGUCGACCGUUUAGGACCAGCAGCCCUGAGCCAGGCGCUGGUGUGUUCUUUCACAGGCAAUUUCUUUCAACCUUCUGAGCCCCUCUAGGAGGUGAGUCCUUUUCAGCUGUGGAAGUUAAGGCUGAGAGAAGUUAAAUAAUGCUCCUCAGUUACACAACGGGAAAGCGGGGCCGUGAUUGAAACACAGGACUGGCUCACUGCAAACACUGGUUUCAUCACUUCGUAGGGUUGUUGGAACGAUUGAGCAGGACAGCACCUAUGAAGCGCUGGUACGGUGCCCUGCACACACUGGGUACUUUAAAAUGUCAGGUCUCACCCCUCAUGUCUGUCCCGAGUCAUCCACCACCAGCAUUAACUCCAACAGAAAUAAUCUACAAUUAUUUCUUAUUAUUAACUCAUGGUUCACCCAAAGCGGCCUUUUCUACAGAGAGACUUGAAAACCUGGCGAAUUCAGUUCAGCAGCCCCCAAACACUAAUUUCACACAUGUGCUCAAGCUUGCUGACACUUGAGGGGUUGGCUGGUGGUUUGCAACCAAGCAGACCCCCAUUCAAGAGGCCAAGAAGCUGUUAUAUCUUCGUCACAAUUAAAAUUGACAAGGAGGGAUGUUCAUCCUGUCCCACCUCUUAGCCCGUCAUGAAAAUUCUGUGUCCGUCUCCAUCGCAGACAGCCAAGUUUGAGCAAUGUUCUUGUCAUUGUGGCUGGUCCCUACCAACUGUCUCCAUGCAUGUUUCUGGAGGCCUCGAAUUGAACAGUUAAGCAGCACGACAACUCGCUGUGUUGGAGAGUUUUAGUAAAGAGGGUGGAAAGGGAACAAGGAACUCAAGAAACCAGGGAGCCAGAGGUCAUUCCAUGACAACGGUCCACUUGUGUCUUUCCGCUGGUUCACCGUGGGGCUUUGCACACCUCACUCCAAACAGGGCAGCAGAUCUGUUCUCCCUCCCAUGCCGGUAACAUCAUGAGGGCCAAAUAAGCUAUGAGAAAAACCAGAUUCUUCCUCCUCCCAUCCUCACCCCUCCACCAUGCAGUUACCUCCAAGGCAGGACACCUCAGCCUGAAGUCCAGUGUCCAGGGACAUAGGAGGCCUGCAUCUGUGGGACAGGGGUGGGGAGUUGCAGCUGCAGGACGGCAGAGGUGGUGUCAAGGCUGAUGGAAGGAAAGGGAUGGUGGGAAGGGGAGGGGAUGGGCGUGAUGUUUACUGAGCACAUACUACGGGCCAAGAACUUGACACUUCUAAGCUUUCUUAAUCCCCACAGAAAUCCUGUGGGGUAGGAAUUAUUAUCUCCUUUGUACCAAUGAGGAAACAGAGGGUCAGUAGGGUUAGGUAACUCACCUGAGGUCAUAUGACUCUGGAGGUGGAGCCAGCAUUUGAAUGCAUGUCUUUUGAUUUCAAAUCUUACCUUCUUUCCAGGAAUACAGUCACCAUGUGAGAGCAAUUCCAAAGUGCUGACUCUGUUGCUUGUCCACGUUACCUUGUGACCCUCAGCCAGCUGCUUGCCUUCUCAGCUUUCUUACCUGCAAAAUGGGGUUAUAUCUAGUGCCUACUUCCUAGGGUUGUUGUAAGAAUUAGAUGAGAUAUGCACAUAAGGUGCUUAGUGCAAUGCCCAACAUGUUGGAAGAGUCCUGCAGAUGUCUGCCAUUGAUUUUAUCUUUGCGGCGGCUGCUCCUGCUGCCCUGGGAAGUCACUCUCCCUGUGCCUCAGUUUUCUCAUCUGUAAAAUGGGUGGAUUGGACUGGAGAUGCCUUAUCUUUCCAGCAAUAAAAUUAUAUUACUCUG